rnacentral:ncRNA from 2 species
AUAACUGCUACGAAAGAAUGAAGUAGUAAUUAAAUUCCCUGCUAUAGAGAGCUAACGGUUGGUGUAAGUUAGUGCAUAAUUUAAUUACGAAUUACGCUCUGGAGCUUCUUCUAUAAUAGAAGACGGUGCUUUUUGCAUCGUUAUAAAAAGAAGUGACAACACUGUAGUGUUGUAACGAGGGUGGUACCGCGAGUAAUAUUCGUCCCUUCC